rnacentral:rRNA from 1 species
GACGAACGCUGGCGGCGUGCUUAACACAUGCAAGUCGAACGGUGAAGCGCCUUCCUUUUUGGUGGGUGUGGAUGAGUGGCGAACGGGUGAGUAACACGUGAGUAACCUGCCCCCUUCUUCUGGAUAACCGCAUGAAAGUGUGGCUAAUACGGGAUAUUCUGGGUCUGUCGCAUGAUGGGUCUGGGAAAGAUAUUGUUUCGGUGGGGGAUGGGCUCGCGGCCUAUCAGCUUGUUGGUGGGGUGAUGGCCUACCAAGGCGGUGACGGGUAGCCGGCCUGAGAGGGUGGACGGUCACACUGGGACUGAGACACGGCCCAGACUCCUACGGGAGGCAGCAGUGGGGAAUAUUGCACAGUGGGCGCAAGCCUGAUGCAGCGACGCCGCGUGAGGGAUGGAGGCCUGCGGGUUGUGAACCUCUUUCGCCAGUGAAGCAGGCCUGCCUCGUUUGUGGGUGGGUUGACGGUAGCUGGAUAAGAAGCGCCGGCUAACUACGUG